rnacentral:rRNA from 1 species
AUUGAACGCUGGCGGCAGGCCUAACACAUGCAAGUCGAGCGAGCGGCGGACGGGUGAGUAAUGUGUGAGGACUGCCCGAUCGAGGGGGGUAACUACUGGAAACGGUGGCUAAAACCGCAUACUAUCGGAUAACCCAUAUGGGAUUAGCGAGUAGGUGGGGUAAAGGCUCACCUAGGCGUCGAUCGCUAGCUGGUCUGAGAGGAUGAUCAGCCACACUGGGACUGAGACACGGCCCAGACUCCUACGGAGGCAGCAGUGGGGAAUAUUGCACAAUGGGCGCAAGCCUGAUGCAGCCAGGCCGCGUGUAUGAAGAAGGCCUUAGGGUUGUAAAGUACUUUCAGCGGGGAGGCGUUACCCGCAGAAGAAGCACCGGCUAACUCCGUGCCAGCCGCCGCGGUAAUAC